rnacentral:rRNA from 1 species
AGUGAACGCUGGCGGUAGGCCUAACACAUGCAAGUCGAACGGCAGCACAGAGGAGCCUGCUCCUUGGGUGGCGAGUGGCGGACGGGUGAGGAAUACAUCGGAAUCUACUCUGUCGUGGGGGAUAACGUAGGGAAACUUACGCUAAUACCGCAUACGACCUACGGGUGAAAGCAGGGGACCUUCGGGCCUUGCGCGAUUGAAUGAGCCGAUGUCGGAUUAGCUAGUUGGCGGGGUAAAGGCCCACCAAGGCGACGAUCCGUAGCUGGUCUGAGGGGAUGAUCCGCCACACUGGAACUGAGACACGGGCCAGACUCCUACGGGAGGCAGCAGUGGGGAAUAUUGGACAAUGGGCGCAAGCCUGAUCCAGCCAUACCGCGUGGGUGAAGAAGGCCUUCGGGUUGUAAAGCCCUUUUGUUGGGAAAGAAAUCCAGCUGGCUAAUACCCGGUUGGGAUGACGGUACCCAAAGAAUAAGCACCGGCUAACUUCGUGCCAGCCGCCGCCGUAA